UGGGGAAUAUUGGACAAUGGGCGCAAGCCUGAUCCAGCCAUGCCGCGUGAGUGAUGAAGGCCCUAGGGUUGUAAAGCUCUUUCACCGGUGAAGAUAAUGACGGUAACCGGAGAAGAAGCCCCGGCUAACUUCGUGCCAGCAGCCGCGGUAAUACGAAGGGGGCUAGCGUUGUUCGGAUUUACUGGGCGUAAAGCGCACGUAGGCGGACUAUUAAGUCAGGGGUGAAAUCCCGGGGCUCAACCCCGGAACUGCCUUUGAUACUGGUAGUCUUGAGUUCGAGAGAGGUGAGUGGAAUUCCGAGUGUAGAGGUGAAAUUCGUAGAUAUUCGGAGGAACACAAGUGGCGAAGGCGGCUCACUGGCUAGAUACUGACGCUGAGGUGCGAAAGCGUGGGGAGCAAACAGG
rnacentral:rRNA from 1 species